rnacentral:rRNA from 1 species
AGUACACGUGACUUAUCUACCCUCGAGUGGGGAAUAACUUCGGGAAACCGAGGCUAAUACCGCAUAAUACCCACGGGUCAAAGGAGCAAUUCGCUUGAGGAGGAGGUCGCGGCCGAUUAGUUAGUUGGCGGGGUAAUGGCCCCACCAAGACGGUGAUCGGUAUCCGGCCUGAGAGGGCGCACGGACACACUGGAACUGAAACACGGUCCAGACUCCUACGGGAGGCAGCAGUGGGGAAUUUUGCGCAAUGGGGGAAACCCUGACGCAGCAACGCCGCGUGGAGGAUGAAGUCUCUUGGGACGUAAACUCCUUUCGAUCGGGACGAUUAUGACAGUACCGGAAGAAGAAGCCCCGGCUAACUUCGUG